AUGACAUCUAGAGAAAUGAAACCUCCUUUCCAUGACAUAAAGCAGGGGAGUUGCCUGAAGUACGUUUGCAAACCUAAAAACACCCCAAACACAUCUUUCAUCACCACCUGGAAGCCUAGAGUGUGAAGAGAAACAGAAAGCAAGUAUUAUUCCCUGAGAGGCCGGGCUCACCCUGAUGCCUGCAGAGAGAACCUGCUGUGACCUCCCUGCCUGCUGGGCAGAGGAGAAACCUGAAGCCCUGAGCCGGGCACAGAAGACCAUGUGGAGCAGGCACUUUGCACAACUGUCUUUGGUGGAGAAUGCUGGUGUGGUCACUCUGUGGGGCCCUGCCCACUGCUCUGCUUCUUACUGCUCUGAGGCGGGGGAAUUAAUUAAAAGAAUUGGAAUCUUUCUAGGAUAUCUGGAAUCUGCCUGAAAGUGAGGAGGCUAAAUAGGCAGUUUUAAGAAUUUACCUGGGAAGCAAGGAAGAAUACUGACCAGCAAGUCCAAGCUG